GAGUCCGCGUCCCAUUAGCUUGUUGGUGGGGUAAGAGCCUACCAAGGCUGCGAUGGGUAGCCGGCCUGAGAGGGUGAACGGCCACAUUGGGACUGAGAUACGGCCCAGACUCCUACGGGAGGCAGCAGUUAAGAAUCUUGCGCAAUGGGCGAAAGCCUGACGCAGCGACGCCGCGUGGACGAUGAAGGCCUUCGGGUUGUAAAGUCCAAUAAGCAGGGAAGUGACGGUACCUGCCUAAAGCCCCGGCUAACUACGUGCCAGCAGCCGCGGUAAUACGUAUGGGGCAAGCGUUGUUCGGAAUUAUUGGGCGUAAAGGGCGUCUAGGCGGGGGACUAAGUUAGGUGUGAAAUCCACGGGCUCAACCCAUGAAUUGCACCUAAAACUGGUUCUCUUGAGUUCGGGAGAGGAGAGCGGGAUUCCCGGUGUAGCGGUGAAAUGCGUAGAU
rnacentral:rRNA from 1 species